rnacentral:rRNA from 1 species
GAAACCGAGUCUUAAUUGGGCGUUAAGUUGCAGGGUAUAGACCCGAAACCCGGUGAUCUAGCCAUGGGCAGGUUGAAGGUUGGGUAACACUAACUGGAGGACCGAACCGACUAAUGUUGAAAAAUUAGCGGAUGACCUGUGGCUGGGGGUGAAAGGCCAAUCAAACCGGGAGAUAGCUGGUUCUCCCCGAAAGCUAUUUAGGUAGCGCCUCGUGAAUUCAUCUCCGGGGGUAGAGCACUGUUUCGGCUAGGGGGCCAUCCCGGCUUACCAACCCGAUGCAAACUGCGAAUACCGGAGAAUGUUAUCACGGGAGACACACGGCGGGUGCUAACGUCCGUCGUGAAGAGGGAAACAACCCAGACCGCCAGCUAAGGUCCCAAAGUCAUGGUUAAGUGGGAAACGAUGUGGGAAGGCCCAGACAGCCAGGAUGUUGGCUUAGAAGCAGCCAUCAUUUAAAGAAAGCGUAAUAGCUCACUGGUCGAGUCGGCCUGCGCGGAAGAUGUAACGGGGCUAAACCAUGCACCGAAGCUGCGGCAGCGACACUAUGUGUUGUUGGGUAGGGGAGCGUUCUGUAAGCCUGCGAAGGUGGCCUGUGAGGGUUGCUGGAGGUAUCAGAAGUGCGAAUGCUGACAUAAGUAACGAUAAAGCGGGUGAAAAGCCCGCUCGCCGGAAGACCAAGGGUUCCUGUCCAACGUUAAUCGGGGCAGGGUGAGUCGACCCCUAAGGCGAGGCCGAAAGGCGUAGUCGAUGGGAAACGGGUUAAUAUUCCCGUACUUGGUGUUACUGCGAAGGGGGGACGGAGAAGGCUAUGUUGGCCGGGCGACGGUUGUCCCGGUUUAAGCGUGUAGGUGUGUGUUCCAGGUAAAUCCGGUU